GACGAACGCUGGCGGCGUGCUUAACACAUGCAAGUCGAACGGAAAGGCCCUGCUUUUGCGGGGUGCUCGUGUGGCGCACGGGUGAGUAACACGUGUGUAUCCUGCACUUGACUUUGGGAUAACUCUAGGGAAAUGCGACUCAUACCGGAUAGGAGCUACUGCUGCAUGGUGGGGGUUGGAAAGUUUCGGCGGUUGGGGAUGGACUUGAGGCUUAUGAGCUUGUUGGGGGGGUAGUGGCUUACAAAGGCUUUGACGGGUAGCCUGCCUGGGAAGGUGACCAGGCUCCAGAGUACUGGGAGAGGGACCAGUCGGCAACGUGAGGCAGCGGGGGAAAAUAUUGCGGAAUAGGCGGGAGCCAGAGACAACGACGCCGCGUGCGUAAUGACGUCCUUCGAGGUGUAAACCACUUUCGCCUGUGACGAGGCGGGAGUGACGGUAAUGGGUAAAGAAGCACCGGCUAACUACGUG
rnacentral:rRNA from 1 species